rnacentral:rRNA from 1 species
GACGAACGCUGGCGGCGUGCCUAAUACAUGCAAGUUGAGCGAUGAAGAUUGGUGCUUGCACCAAUUUGAAGAGCAGCGAACGGGUGAGUAACGCGUGGGGAAUCUGCCUUUGAGCGGGGGACAACAUUUGGAAACGAAUGCUAAUACCGCAUAACAACUUUAAACAUAAGUUUUAAGUUUGAAAGAUGCAAUUGCAUCACUCAAAGAUGAUCCCGCGUUGUAUUAGCUAGUUGGUGAGGUAAAGGCUCACCAAGGCGAUGAUACAUAGCCGACCUGAGAGGGUGAUCGGCCACAUUGGGACUGAGACACGGCCCAAACUCCUACGGGAGGCAGCAGUAGGGAAUCUUCGGCAAUGGACGAAAGUCUGACCGAGCAACGCCGCGUGAGUGAAGAAGGUUUUCGGAUCGUAAAACUCUGUUGGUAGAGAAGAACGUUGGUGAGAGUGGAAAGCUCACCAAGUGACGGUAACUACCCAGAAAGGGACGGCUAACUACGUG